GACGAACGCUGGCGGCGUGCUUAACACAUGCAAGUCGAACGGAAAGGCCCUGCUUUUGUGGGGUGCUCGAGUGGCGAACGGGUGAGUAACACGUGAGUAACCUGCCCUUGACUUUGGGAUAACUUCAGGAAACUGGGGCUAAUACCGGAUAGGAGCUCCUGCUGCAUGGUGGGGGUUGGAAAGUUUCGGCGGUUGGGGAUGGACUCGCGGCUUAUCAGCUUGUUGGUGGGGUAGUGGCUUACCAAGGCUUUGACGGGUAGCCGGCCUGAGAGGGUGACCGGGGACAUGGCGGUGGGGAGGCGGACGAGGCACGGACGGGAGGCGGGGGUGGGGAGUAUCGAACGGUGGGCGCCACCGUGAUGCCGCACCGGCGGGGGGGGGAUGACGGCCGGGGGUGUGUGAGCCGCUCGCGCCUGUGACGGAGCGGGGGUGAAGGUAAUGAGUAAAGAAGCACCGGGGAAGUACGGGACAGCGGCCGGGGUAAUAGUGGGAAGGGCAGACGUCUGCAC
rnacentral:rRNA from 1 species